rnacentral:RNase_P_RNA from 1 species
UGAGUCGGCCAGGCGGCCGCGUGGCCUGCGGGAAUCUGCGGGCCCCGAGGAACGUCCGGGCUCCAUAGGGAACGGUGGUGGGUAACGCCCACCCGGGGCGACCCGCGGGAUAGCGCCACAGAGAAUAGACCGCCGCGGCUGCGGCCGAGGUAAGGGUGAAACGGUGGUGUAAGAGACCACCGCGUUGCGGGUGACCGCGACGGCACGGCAAGCCCCACCGGGAGCAAGGUCAGACAGCGCGCGUUUGAGGCGUCCCGCUUAGCGCGCGGGUGGACUGCUCGAGUCUCGUGGUAACACGCGACCUAGAUGGAUGGCCGCCGCCGCCCGGUUUUCGGGCGGAACAGAACCCGGCGUAUCGGCCGACUCAUUCG